rnacentral:piRNA from 1 species
UAACGUAGUUUUUGUCUUUUU